rnacentral:rRNA from 1 species
GAUGAACGCUAGCUACAGGCUUAACACAUGCAAGUCGAGGGGCCUCGCGGGAGCUUGCUCCCAAGAGACGACCGGCGCACGGGUGAGUAACGCGUAUCCAACCUGCCCUUCAUAUUGGGAUAGCCUUCCGAAAGGAAGAUUAAUACCGAAUAACAUGAGAAAGUUGCCUGAUUCUCUCAUGAAAGCUCCGGCGAUGAAGGAUGGGGAUGCGUUCCAUUAGGUAGUAGGCGGGGUAACGGCCCACCUAGCCUACGAUGGAUAGGGGUUCUGAGAGGAAGGUCCCCCACACUGGAACUGAGACACGGUCCAGACUCCUACGGGAGGCAGCAGUGAGGAAUAUUGGUCAAUGGGCGCAAGCCUGAACCAGCCAAGUAGCGUGAAGGAUGACUGCCCUAUGGGUUGUAAACUUCCUUUAUACGGGAACAAACCUUGGUACGCGUACCAAAUUGCGUGUACCGUAUGAAUAAGCAUCGGCUAACUCCGUGCCAGCCGCCGCCGUAAAAC